rnacentral:rRNA from 1 species
UUUUACAAUGGAGAGUUUGAUCCUGGCUCAGGAUGAACGCUAGCUACAGGCUUAACACAUGCAAGUCGAGGGGAAACGGCAUUGAGUGCUUGCACUCUUUGGACGUCGACCGGCGCACGGGUGAGUAACGCGUAUCCAACCUUCCCAUUACUGUGGGAUAACCUGCCGAAAGGCAGACUAAUACCGCAUAGUCUUCGAUGACGGCAUCAGAUUUGAAGUAAAGAUUUAUCGGUAAUGGAUGGGGAUGCGUCUGAUUAGCUUGUUGGCGGGGUAACGGCCCACCAAGGCAACGAUCAGUAGGGGUUCUGAGAGGAAGGUCCCCCACAUUGGAACUGAGCCACGGUCCAAACUCCUACGGGAGGC